UUAGAUUUUUUUUGGUUCCAGUUUUCUGUCUCAGUUGGGAGGGCAUUUCCAACAAGAUUACUGAAAGAAAGAAUAGUAGGAAAUCUUAAUCAACUUAACUAUACUAUUUUUGUGCUAAUGAAGUAGCUGGAAUGACAGGAGGAACUCAGCAGGAAGAGAACAAUAGCAUGUUUACGCAAUACUGAAGUUUGGAAUGCUAUGCAGUGGAAAUGAGAAGACAGCUCUUUUGUUCUGGAAGAAUAUUUGCAAUAAAAUAACACAACCUAAAGAAGGAAGUCAUAUCUCAAGUAACGGUACAUGAUAUCCUGUGUGAAUAAGGAAAUUAUUUGAAGCACUGAAUGAUAAACUUGGCCUUUUAUGUGCAGUCUUCAGCAUCCGCUGUUGACUAUUA